UACUUAUCCAUGGGAGUCAGACUGUGAGUAAUAAGGCCCAUAGUCAAGAGGGAAACAGCCCAGACCAACAGCUAAGGUCCCCAAUGCCGUACUAAGUGGCGAAGGAUGUGGAAUUUCGAAAACAACCAGGAUGUUGGCUCAGAAGCAGCCACCAUUAAAAGAGUGCGUAAUAGCUCACUGGUCGAGAGACUCUGCGCCGAAGAUGUCCGGGGCUAAAGUACGGAACCGAAGCUUUGGCAAUUAACAUAAGUUAAUUGGGUAGGGGAGCGUUCCUGCAUGGGAGAAGCCUGACCGGAAGGACAGGUGGACAGGCAGGAAGAGAGAAUGCCGGUAUGAGUAGCGAAAAGAAGGGUGAGAAUCCCUUCCACCGAAAGCCUAAGGGUUCCUGGGCAACGAUCGUCGUCCCAGGGUAAGUCGGGACCUAAUCCGAGGCGGAGACGCGUAGGAGAUGGACAACAGGUUGAAAUUCCUGUACUGGCUGAGGCCGUUUGAGCGAAGGAGUGACACAGGAAGGAAGGCGCGCGUGCGAAUGGAAGAGCACGUCCAAGCAGGUAGGUCGGGAGACAGGCAAAUCCGUUUCCCAUAAGGCCGAGAUGCGAUGGGGAGCUUCUGGAGACAGAAGCGAAGGGGCUGGCACUAAACUGUCGAGAAAAGCUUCUAGUGAGGACUCAGGCACCCGUACCGAAACCGACACAGGUAGGCAGGAUGAGAAUUCUAAGGUGCGCGGGAAAACCCUCGUUAAGGAACUCGGCAAAAUAUAUCCGUAACUUCGGGAAAAGGAUAACCCAGCGUACGUGAAGUGCAGAAACGCAUGGAGCGGAGAUGGGUGGCAGAAGAGAGGCCCAAGCGACUGUUUACCACAAACACAGGCGUCUGCUAAAGCGAAAGCUGAUGUAUAGAUGCUGACACCUGCCCGGUGCUGGAAGGUUAAGAGGAAGUGUUAGCGCAAGCGAAGCAGUGAAUUGAAGCCCCAGUAAACGGCGGCCGUAACUAUAACGGUCCUAAGGUAGCGAAAUUCCUUGUCGGGUAAGUUCCGACCCGCAUGAAAGGCGUAAUGAUUUGGGCGCUGUCUCAACGAGGGGCCCGGUGAAAUUGAAAUACCUGUGAAGAUGCAGGUUACCCGCGACUGGACAGAAAGACCCCAUGGAGCUUUACUGCAGCUUGAGAUUGAAUCCCGGUGGCAGACGCACAGGAUAGGUGGGAGGCUUUGAGAUAGUGACUUUGGUUGCUAUGGAGCCGACGUUGGGAUACCACCCUUCUGUUGCUGGGAUUCUAACGCGAAGAUUAACAACCUUGCGGACCAUCUCAGGUAGGCGGUUUGACUGGGGCGGUCGCCUCCGAAAGAGUAACGGAGGCGCCCAAAGGUUCCCUCAGGCCGGACAGAAACCGGCCGAAGAGUGCAAAGGCAGAAGGGAGCUUGACUGCGAGACAGACAAGUCGAGCAGAGACGAAAGUCGGGCUUAGUGAUCCGGUGGUACUGCGUGGAAAGGCCAUCGCUCAACGGAUAAAAGCUACCCUGGGGAUAACAGGCUAAUCUCUCCCAAGAGUUCAUAUCGACGGGGAGGUUUGGCACCUCGAUGUCGGCUCAUCACAUCCUGGAGCUGGAGUAGGUUCCAAGGGUUGGGCUGUUCGCCCAUUAAAGUGGUACGCGAGCUGGGUUCAAAACGUCGUGAGACAGUUUGGUUCAUAUCCAUCGCGGGCGCAAGAAGUUUGAGGGAGGCUGCUCCUAGUACGAGAGGACCGGAGUGGACGGAUCAACGGUGUACCAGUUGUCACGCCAGUGGCACGGCUGGAAAGCCGCAUCCGGAAAGGAUAAACGCUGAAAGCAUCUAAGCGUGAAGCCCGUCCCAAGAUGAGACUUCUCAUCAGCAAUGAGUAAGACCCCUUAAAGACGAUGAGGUUGAUAGGCUGUGAGUGGAAGAGCCGCGAGGCUUGGAGCGACGCAGUACUAAUAGGUCGAGGUCUUAACU
rnacentral:rRNA from 1 species